rfam:Gossypium hirsutum cultivar TM-1 scaffold6993.1_1, whole genome shotgun sequence
GGGUGCGAUUAUACUAGCACUAAUGCAUCGGAUACCACCAAAACUCCGCAGUUAAGCGUGCUUGGGCGAGAGUAGUACUAGGAUAGGUCACCUCCUGAGAAGUCCUCGUGUUGCACCCC